ensembl:lncRNA
GCCUCCCUCGCCGCUCCGAGCCAAUGAGAGCGCGCACCGCGCGGUAGGCUGAGAUGGCGCUAUAGAACGUUUGUCCAAUGGUAGGCGGCGUAUUCCGCGCGGCGCCAGUCGCAGAGGCGCUAGGGCGAUGUUGCGUGGUGAGGGGCGGGUGCGUGGGGUGGGCGCCGGUCGGGUGGGCGGAUGGGGCGGUGCCCGCUCGGAGCGGCCGCCGCGGGGUACUCACGUCCCACCUGCGGAAGGUGGGGCUAGCUCUGGAGGAGUUCCUUGGUGGCCUUGAGGACCUCAGACUUAACCCGGCCGCUGGAGCCAUCCCGGCGGACUGGAAGUGCACGGGCUAGGAGAGCAAGAAGGACGUGACAGGCGGGCGAACCUGACGUAAUUAGUGAACGAGGGCUAAAGAAAAAGAAGUCAGUAGGUGGAGAUGGGGCACACCUUUAGUCCCAGAACUCGGGAGGCAGAAAGAUCUCUAUUUAUUAUUAUUUUGUCAACAUGUAUGUCUGCACUACGAAAGAGGACACUGGAUCCCAUGAAGCUGCAGUAAUAGACAGUGGUGUCCCUCCCUGAUGAUUGCAUGCCAAGAUGAUCUGGUCUUCCCAUCCGUUGUUGGACGUUCGUGUGGCCUCUCACCAGUGUGUAAUGUGAUGCCAAAUAAGGCAGAAGCUGCUGCCUAAACCCUUUCCAGUCAGGACACUUAUAAGGCCUCUCUCCUGUGUAAGUUCUCUUGUGAACCAUAAGGGGGAAAUAUUGCUGAAGCUUUUCCCUCACUCGCCACACAAGACGGACUUCUCCCCUGCGCGUGUUUUCAAAUGCUGAACCAGGUGGGAACUGUUAGAACAGCCUUUCCCACGUCUAGAACAUUUAUAUGAUUUUUCUCCUGAGUGUGUCCCCUGGUGUGUAUGGAGACGAGAAGCUUUCCCAGCAUUUAGAACAUUCAGGGGGCUUCUCUCUAAAGACGAAUUCCACUGGGCAGAGGUGUUGAUAUGAUCUUCAGAACCCCAUCCUCCUUGGCGAGGUCCCCCCUCCUUUCUCUAUAGUGUCCUCCUGUUUCUCUGAUUGGUCAUCAUUCUCAUAAGAAUCAUGACAACAGACCUCUUCUCCAUGAGACUAUACCAGAUGCAUGCUUCUGUUCGUCGUGCUUAGAAUUCUGUGGCCCUCAUCUUUUAGACCAUUUUAGAGCCUUCUCUUGAAGUUUAUCAGCCUUAGGUGUACUGCUUUGAACAGUCCCUAAGUUAUCCCUAUUUUCAUCUCCUGCAAGAAUUAAAAAAAAAAAAUCUAACCAUAGUCCUUUAUCUUGCCUGACAAAUUCUGAACUGAAGUGCGAGAGUAACAGUGGAAACCCUCAUAAUGCAUUAUUAGAAAAUCAGUGUAUGGGUUGGGGAUUUAGCUCAGUGGUAGAGCGCUUGCCUAGGAAGCGCAAGACCUUGGGUUCGGUCCCCAGCUCCGAAAAAAAGAAAAGAAAAAAAAAAAAGAAAGAAAGAAAGAAAGUCAGUGUCUGUGUGUGCUUGGAGGUGCCUUCCCUUUGGUUUCUGCUGCUAUUUUAAACACCACGACCAAAAGCAACUCGAGGAGGAAAGAGUUUCUUUCAUCUUAUAUCACAGGUAACUGUCCAUUGCUAAAGGAAGUCAAGGCAGGGUCUCCAAAGGGGAACUGAGAAACCGUGGCGGGGGGGGGGGGGGGGAGGAGGGUGCUGUUUACUACAUUGUUCCCCAUAGCUUGCUUAGCCUGCUUUUAAUAUCAUCCAAGACUAUCUGCCCAGGGUGCCACUGCCACAACAGGCUUGACCCUCCCACAUAAAUCACUAGUUAAGAAAAUGCCCCACAGGCCAAUUUGAUAGACGUUUUCUCAAUUGAGGGUCUCUCUUCUCAAACAACUCUAGCUUCUGUCAAAUUGACUAAUAAAAACUAACCAGGAUGGUCAUUCUUACUCCUGUGUUUGCUCAGUCUUAUUUUCACUUCAUAUGACAGUCUACUUAGGUCCCUUUUUACCUUGUAAACCUCAAAUAAAGCUUAGAACAUUUAUUUUUAGGUUGGUAUUGCCCUUGGGAUUUGCAUAAUCGAAAACUCAGUUUGUAUGGUGGAUUAGAACAAAAUCCACUAAUGAACACUCAGAAUUAAAAGUAAGACUAGUUUUAAAACAUUUCUGUAGGGGCUGGAGAGAUGGCUCAGUGGUUAAAAGAGCAUACUGUUUUUUGGUUUUUUUAAAUAAUUAUUUAUUUUAUGUAUAUGAGUACAUUGUAGCUGUCCUCAGACACACCAGAAGGGGGCAUCGGAUCCCAUUACAGAUGGUUGUGAGCCACCAUGAGAUUGCUGGGGAUUGAACUCAGAACCUCUGGAAGAGCAGGCAGUGCUCUUAACCACUGAGCCAUCUCUCCAGCCACCUUGAACACUGUCUUUUCCACAUAGUAUCUAGCACAUUUUACAACAAGUUCCUCAGGCUUCAGAUCAUCUUGACCUGUAAUCAUGCCUUUUAACCUCUCCCACUUGGUGAAAUUCGAGUCGGAAAC